AGGAUGAUUUUCAUCAACAACAACAUUUGAUUUCCCAUUCGGAGAUGAUCCUAUAUUGUUGGAAAUACCUUAUGAAAAUAAGAGCCGAGAAGUCUGGUGAUGGUUACAGGUGGUUUUACCAAGUGGUCAUCUUUCUUGAAAUGAAAUCACAUCCGGUUCGGCGCCACUUAUUAGUUGAUUUUAUCCUUUCUGUUCGGUUUUUUUUUUCAAAAAUUAAUAAUAUAUGUUCUGAAUGAUUUAUGGUUUUUUUCUCAUGGUAAACCAUCAAUCUUUUGUGACAAUCGAACUCGGAGUGUUCGUCAACCAAAACAGUCGAAACACAAGGAGAAGCCACAGACUACCGAAAGUCAUGUUGAAGAAGGUGUUGCUGGGGAUAGUGUUGGUGACUUUCAACUUCCAAAUUUUGAGUAUAUAUUUAAUGAUGCUGACGACUACAAGUUUGAUCGACAUAUAGCUGCUCUAAUUGAGAUGGAAGAUGCUAAGAAGCUGUUCAAUGAUUGUUGGAAUACAAAGAAUGAUGCUUUGAAAGAGACUCUGUCUGCUACCUCUCAAUGUCAUUUGGACACGAAAGGGAAGUCAAAGGUUGUCUGUGGUGAUGAAACUGUUUCUCCAAAGGUUUAUAUGAACUAAUAACAUAAUUUAAUAUUUUUUUUCAGUAUGUA